rnacentral:tRNA from 1 species
GGAAAUAUAGCUUAGUGGAAGAAUGCAUGCUUAGCAUGCCUGAGGUCCUGGGUUCAAUCUCCAGUACCUCCA